GUCGAGCAAUUGAGAAGUAUCAGGUUGUUAUGCACUCUCUUACUAUUAUCUUUUAUACCCUAAAUACAUCCAAUCAAUUGUAAAAUGUAACUAUGCUGCAAUACUUCUUAGGACUUCUUUUGAGGCUUUCUUGCUCUUGAAUCAAUUCCAAUCAGGAUUGUUUCAUUUUCUUCACUUGUUAUGCAUGUGUUAUGUUUCUAAUAAUCAUUAUAAAACCACAAACCCUAAAUUCUUUUAUUUUAGGGAUGUAAACAAAUAGAGCUUUGAAAAGCUCAAGUUCGGCUCCUUAGAUUUUCAUUAAGCUCGAGUUGAGCUUUAAAUUGCUCAUGCACAAAUUUGAAGCUUGAGCUCGGCUCGUUUAGAUAUUAAUAGGCUUGAGCUUGAUUCAAACUCAGCUUACAUUUACCUUGUUUAUAAAGCUUGUGACUCAUCUUGCAUAUGCUCAUUUAUCAAGUUCGUGAGCUUGGCUCACAUUUAGCUCAUUUAUCAAGCUCACUUGCUCGAGCUUGACUUGUCAAGCAUAAUUAGCCAAAUGGCCCAAAUCACUGAAAAAAUAUAUUUUUUAUUUAUUUUUUAAAACUCAUUUAG
rnacentral:misc_RNA from 1 species